ACUACUUUUUAACUUUAAGAAAACUUUUUAUGAAUAACUGAAAUGUACUAACAUCAAGAAAUGGAACUGUGCACCAACAUUGGGUGGACCAAUAUUAAAUAGUGUUACAGUAGGUGACAGCCUUAGAAUAUUAAGCCUAGGUCUUUAGUUCUAAAGGUCGCUUUUCUCACCUUUGCCCUUGCGAACUGAAGCCCAGCGUCAGAAAGAGCCAAAGACUGGCCAGUGGCAUUUUCAAGUGAUAAAAUAACAAGUGAUGUCAGACUCUCGUCAGCCAUCGUCGAUCAAAGACAUGGUUAAUGAGCCUGAACUUGAAAAAGCUGCACUUACCACUCGUGACUAUGACUGGCGGCGUGAGCAGAAUCCUCAAAGCAAUCCACACAUUAGGAAAAGCAUCCGUCAGCUCUGCAUCAUGAGUAAAUUGGAGAACUUGGAAUGGGGAGUGCUUCCCGUGUGGAAAAAUGUGACUGAUGUCCAAUUCAACAUAAAAACCCUGUAUCACUGAUGUCCAAACAUUCCCCAGGUGGCAACGUUCACUGAAGGCUUUCCAUCACCUCAUCUUUGCCCUCAUAACCAAACUGUCUCGUCUUCCGCUGAAUACGAGUUUCCUUGAAGACCGACUCAACUCCUAAGUUUUCUGCCAUUUCUUAGGCAGCAGUGAUGACGUCUUCAAAUCCGACAGCAAAGUCUAUGUUCCACAGUCUUACAAAACCAUCAAACAUUACAUGUUAAGCAUGGCAAAAGAAGUGAUAGUAUUAAGAUAGGGUUUCAAUAGAUAUGUCUGAUGUCUUAUUAAAUAUGUCCUUUAUUAGUAGCUACUUACACUCUUCAAGUCUUAAAACACAAGUACUCUUUCACAGUUACACAAAGUAAGGUUCACAGUAUUGCAGCUGGGCUCUCACUUAACUUCACUUUGUUCUUAUAUCUCACUGACUGACUGGCAAUACCCUGCCCUUAUAUAACUGCAAGCUGACAACAUUCUAGGAGGUUCAAGGAAAAUCCAGUUUUCAAAAAGUCUGGAAGGUUCCACGAGAUUCUACAAAGAUCCAAAACAUUCUAAGAGGUUAGUGAAAAAUGAAUCCACAUACGGAAUACUUGAAACUAGGGCUGUUGAUUAAUCUGCUCUGAAACUGUGAGAUGCUCUGAACCUCCUCCAAGGUGCUGAGUGCCAUGGGGCAGUGAUCUCCAGCCGGUGUAAAUUUUCAUAGCUCCAUUGACUUCAGUCUCAUUAUAGGCUUGAGCCUUAUCAUCUGUUAUGCCCUCAAAGCAUUGGACUAGGCUCAAUGCUACAGACCUUCACUGCAAUUGUGUGUAUUGUAGUGGAACUGUAAAUAAGGCAAUUCAGCUUCUAGUACUGGCAGUUCCUUACACUUCCUUUACAAAAGGGGAAAAAAUACUGACAAUUGAAAACUAAAAAUAAAGGCUGACCAACUAUUACAGGAAGAGCUGAGUCCUAGUACUUCCCUGUCUGAGAUAAAACUUUCCAAAAUAUUUGCAAUAGAAAAUACAAUUUAUCCUAAAACUUUCAAUUCAGUUUGCUGUGAAAUACCUUGAUCAUUACUGUUAAAUAACUGGUCACAAAUAUAAUUAAAGUCAAAGUACCAUGCAGUGAUAAGGUUGGUAUUUUACAGACAUGAAGGUCAGGAAAUUCACAGUCCUGGUUACUCUAGCAGUCAAACUUUGCCUUGUUUUAGGUGUGUGGUAUAUAGUAUUGCUCUAUGUGGUGUCAGCUUUAAUGCUAAAUUCUGUGUGUACAAUGUGCUGGGGAGACUGUAAUUGUAUAACUCCUGAAUUUUUCAGAUUUCAUAUGUCAGACUAUUCACACACACAAAGUUUUCCUGGGUUUUUGUUUUGUUUUUUUAGGGAAAAAAGGGGGAAGAAAUAAUUUUGUCUAAAUGGGUUGCUUCUUCCAUCUGCAAAUUUUCCAUUUAGUCAGCAUUGUUCAUGUUCCAGUGUGUGGCUGAGAAAGAAGUAAAACAGUAUCCACUUUUCAACACUGCUUUUCUCAUAAAGUAUAUACCUCUGCUUUGCUUUGUCUCUCCCUUCACUGAGGGUCCAGUCCUGGACUCAGGCCACAGCCCAAGUAAACAGCCUUUGCAAUGGAGAGCUCUGUAGACCUCAGGGAGAGAGAGAAUCCUCCCUCAGAGGCUGCAGUGGGUGGCAGGCACUGCUACUGCAGACUUAAUAGUCCCAUAACUGCUGCCCCCUCCUCACCUCUUCUGAGGGGAGGGGUCAGUGGAGGUGGGUGGAAAUUGAUCUGCCUGCCCCAGGACACCCUUUAGAUUAUGAGAAACUUGGGGUGUGGCCUCCCUUCCUGGGCUUCAGUACGUUGCCUUCAUGCUUUCCAUGCAGCAGAAUUGCACUGGUGGAGAAGAGCGGGCUCUGACCUGUGUAGUAGUACUUUACAGAUUGUGGCUGAAGAAGGGACAAUCAUCAAAAGGUCAGUGCACAAUUUCCUUCCUAUUCUCAGCAUGUAUUUAAGAUCAGUUUUGUUCUCUUGUUCAAAACAGCUGUCUUGUGAGUGUGUAGAUCUUUAUCCAUCUAGUCACACAUUUUCUAUUCUGAUAGACUGUUGCACUGUGCUUCAAAAUUAUCACUGACAAAGACAGAUACAGCCUGAAAUCAAUUCUUGGUGAAGGGUCUUAAGCCAAAAGCCAUGCAAGCUAUAUGGCAGAUAAUUGAACCAGGGUCUGUGAAGUACAGUGCAUUUAGGGAGAAGAAGGGAGGAACUUGCUCUGUCUACAUGCCUAUCUAUGUCACUACACAAUAUAGCCUUUAGACAGUAACUUCCAUUUGACGUGGUGACUUCAAAGGCUGUGUGUACAUUAGGUCCUCCAGCAGUUUGGCCAAAAUGUCACACUAAAACAGCAGGGAAGAUAUCUCUUGUAUGAGAGCAUAGUCAGAGAUGAAAAAGAGAGAAUAUUUACCCAGCUGGAAGUGGUCCCUGAAGGAGUUUCCCUGUAUGGGCAAGAAUGUGCCCGAUUUUUGGUCACUGCUAUUUGAUUAUGCAAGUGGGUUCCUCCUUAAGAAAUAUUCCCUGAAUGUAGACCGUGAUCUUGGAAAUGCGAACAGACAAGUGGUUUCUGACUGAAAUCAGUGGAGUAUAAGUCUGUGGGAGGCUCCUGUCAGACAAAUAAUGAAUAUGAACCAGUCAUGUCAGUGCUCUGAAAAACAGAAAUGGCUUUUGACCAAAGAAAACAGAGACGUGAAACGAAAACAAAGUGCAAAACAAAUGAGAACAUGAAUGAGGAUGAGGACAUCAAAAUUCACAGAAGGAAGAUUACAGAAAGCAAGCUGGAGAGAGAUGGAGAGGAAAAAAAUUACUGUGUUCCAAAUGGUUCUUUAAACACUAUUUUAACUAUUAAUCAUAUAAAAGUUGCUUAAACUAAUGGCUACAAUCUGUAGUGUAGCUAAAAGUUUAAGGUGUACUGAAUAUCUGUGGAGCAAGGAGAUACAAAAGAUAAAAGCGAAGAGAGAGAACAGGUAGUUAUGGCUAUGGCCUGCCUUUGGCCGUAAUUCUGUUGCACUGAAUAUAUUCAGCAUUAUGAAGAGAAAGGAUGGUCAGGGUAUUAGCUUAGAAUUUUGGAGAACUGGGUUCAAUUCCCUGUUCUGCCCCAGGAACUCUCUGUGACCUUGGGCUAGUCACUUUGGGCUAAAUCCAUAAAAGGGAUUUAAACUUAUCAUUGCAACACCUAACUUUUUGGCACCUUACUAUCCACUGGAGUCCACAGUCUUUGGCCAGGAGCUUAGACUCCCUAUAUGAUGCAUAGGAAGAGUUAGGUGCCUAAGAAGGGGAUUCACAAAAGCCAGCAUGCUGAGCCGGGAGUUGCCUAAGCUAGCUACCAAGGAGGGAAUUAGGUGUCUCAUGGAAGGCACCUCCCUCCACUUGAGAUUCUCUGCCAAGCUCCCUCUCCUGAAGUUAAGUACCUAAGGCAGGUCAGCCCUUUCUCAUGUAGAAUGGGAGAGGAAGAUAUGGUAGUUGAAUCCAGGUUUCGUAUCUCCCAUGAGUGCCCUAACCACUGGGCUAUGGACUGUUUUGGGGCAGACUUUCUCAGUCUCUUCUGUUGAAAAUGUUCCACUGUGUAUAAAAUAAUUAAAUAGUCCAAAUAGGGUCAGAUUGGCUCUAUAGCCCAGUGGUUAGACACCCUCCGAGGAAGUGAGAGAAUCAGGUUUCAAUCCCUGCAGAACUGUAAAGUGCAGAAUAUGCAGAGUCCAUUUGCUGGAUGAGUGAUUGCUAAAUAACUCAGGCUACCUGAGUGUCUGCCUACCCACCUGUUGGCUGACAACAACUAGAAAUACAAAAUUGGUUCCAGCACACAGGUCUCGUGAAAGAAAAGGAAGUCAAAUACAUAAACAGUAUUUUCACAUAAGAUGACAGUCACACAGGGCCUACUGGCUCACAAGGCUCUAAUCUCAUUCAGCUGGUAGCAGACUUUCUGUAUGCAAGGUUAUUACGACUAAGGACAGUUUUUUCCACAGGAACAAGUGCAUCUUUCUUCUCUAUUGUGUUUGUGUUGUGUUUGUCACUUCCUUCUAACUGGUGGCACAACAUUUUGUCCCAGCACCUCCCUCCAGGAGUAUGAUUCUGCUUCUCCAAUACAGGCUGCAACAAUUUUCCUUCCUUUUUUCUAUUAUGCUGCCUUCAAUAUGUAGGUGAUAUUCCUCUGAAGUUCUGUUGCAUCCAACCUGGCUAGUGCAGUUGAUCUUUUCCCAGGGAUUGGCUGCGGUUGGAGAUUGGAUCAGAGCUAGCAUGCUGAGACUGAGGUAACGUUGGUUUCUCAGGGGAAAACAACCAGAGGACGUAGCAACAGUUACAAUAGCUCUCUCAGAGGGAAUUUGCUUGCCUGUUGUUUCUCAGUUUGGAGAUGGCAAAGAAUCUUCAGAUGAUCUGCCCUUAUUAUUGGAGUGAAAUACUGCAGUUGUAGUCCACAAAAGAGAAGCCCAAAAGAGAAACAAAUGGUAUUAAAGCAUCAGCUCCUCAAAGCAUGUGCCUUUCCCAAGCACAAUUAGCCUGAAGGUCUGCACAUCAGCUAAAAUUGAAUAUGAAGAUAAGGUUCCCAUCUUCCUAGGAGGAACAGAUUUUUCAGGUGUGCUCUCAGCAAUAAACAGGAAAUGCACCACAAAAUUAGGAGGAGGGCAGAGAAUCAUUCCAAAAAGAGUGUGAAAAGUUUUAUUCUCUCUUUUGCUGUAGUACUAGUCUCAUGGACUCAAAGAAAUUAGAAGUGUAAAAGGUUUUAUCUAAUCCUCCUUCCUGCCGGUAAAGGAUUAUUCACUGCAGUCCAUUUUCUGGUGCUUUGAGGUCUAGCUUUAAACAUCGCAAGUGGCCACCUCCAUUUUUCGGGGAAAUGGGGGAAUAUUCCACAGUCUAAAAGAACUCUCUGAGCAGGCUCCCAUUCACUUCAGUUGGACGUGAAUCAGGCCCCAGGUGUUUUUCUUGACAUUCAGCCUAUAUAUUCCUGGUUUAAAAUUCAUCUUAUCGGUCCCAGUUAGAUCUUCUUGAACCAUCCUAAUAUUCCCUUUCAUCCUUUGGGUUUACACCCUCUGAAUGUUGGUAGACAUAUUGAGCUAUUUCAUGGAGCAGUGCUAGUCUACUGCAGUUGUGUUUGCUUAGGGUAGCAAUUGGAUAUUUGAAUGGCUUAGCCACUUGGUUAAGCUUAGUUUAUUCUCCACUUCACAUUUCAACCAGUAUCAUUUUAAAAAAAUAUUUUUUGUUGUUUAUUUUAAGAUUUCAGUUGGUUGCUUGCACCUUUGUUUUUUAGCUAUUAGGGAAGUCCCAUCAUAAACUAGUUCUCUAAGCAAUUGGUAAAAUAACAAAGAGGUUUUCCUGAUGAUUUAUUACUGAUAAAAUUUUCACCACAGAGUCAAAAUGCUCCCACAAAGUUUGAAUUUUUAUGAAUCACCAGAAAUCUUUUUUAUUUUUCUGAAAUGGACCAAAUGUUACUAAGUGAUUUGAUGGGAUUUUUCCUGUUUUAUUCCAGUGGCAAUUUACUUUUCUGCAAUCCUUUCUUCCUUGACAUGUAAUAAAGGAGGUUGUGUGGUUAGAACAAAGUAUUGAGACACACUCUGAUUUACUGUAUAUUCGCAGCUCUCCUUUAUUGUAUAUUUGAACCAUUGAUUCACUGUAUGACCUUGGACAGAUGUCUCAAUCAAGCCAAGUAGAAAAAUGGAUUUAAAAAAUUAAACUCUCUGAAAACCAGAUGCUGCAUCUGAACUGAGCUUUACUGAAUACUUAUAACACCAAUGCCCUGUGCAUUUAGUAUUCCCUUGUCUUUUCUUUUACGCCCUUGUCUCAUAUGUUUGUUUAUUACCAAACUAAUGAUAUUACAUAUAUAUGUGUAAUUUUUCUCUACUUGAAAUAUUUGCAGCUUCAGAAUGGUAAAGAAAUAAUUACAAAUGAUAAUGAAGGGAGCACCACUGCACACCCUUGGGUAGACUCUGAAGCUACAAUGCUAUUCUAGUGGAGGUGGAAGAGUGGCAAACUGCUGUGGUCUGUGCUGUGUGAUUCAGCUUCUGAUGUACAUUCUGCAUAUGUGAUCCCUCUGAAAAAAAAUAGGUACAAUAUCCUUUUGAACCCAGGUUUAUUACUCUUGUAAUCAGUGAAUCCCUGAUCCUACAAAGACUUACAUAUGUGCUUGACUUUACACACUAUGAAGUGGACUGAGUUCAAUGGGAUAACUCACAAGGAGUAAAGUUAAACAUGCCGGAGUCUUUGCAGGACUGGACCCAAGGAAGUUGAACUUAUUUAAGAAGUGAGCUUAUUUAAGAACAAGAAGGAAGCACAGACACACUCAACAUACUUGACUUUGUUUCUAGAAAGUGAAUCAGGUCAGAUGAAGAGCAAAGCAAAUCAGAGUUGAAAGGGGAGGAAGCACCUUGUAGAAGUGAGGAUCCUGCAGCAGCCUCACCACACAGCCAUGCAGUCAGAGCUCUGUAGGUCUGGGUGGUGUAGGAUUGGGGAUCAGUUGCUUCCUGUAGCAUACUUCCUGGGGAAUCCAAGGUUUUUUCACUCCAAGCCAAAUUUAUUGGGAUUAGGAGUGUGAGUUGGGGGGGGGGCGUUGCAGAAUGACUCCUAACUACCCGUGGAAAAGUACUGGGAGCAGAUUCUCCACAUAAAUGUUUUUUGAAUAUAGGAUCAGAAUUUGUCUUCUCUGUGCAGGAGUUAAAGUAAGGAGGUGUGGGUGGAGCACAGCAGCAACCUCUACUCUUCCUACGCGAGGGGGCAGUGCUUCCUGUAGCUCUCCCCUCUGAAUAUGCACUGGCAACUCUGCAGUGCAAAUCUUGUGGAGUUUCUUAAGUGCCCUUUCCUCCUCCCAGGGGUUUUACUUGGGCUUAGGAUAGUGGUGUUAGUCCCCCAUUACAUUGUCCUAUUUCAGUUUCUCCUGCCUUUUAAUUAUUGUAAAGUAUUCAACUAUAGAAAUAUUUUUAUGGAAAGUAUUCAUAACAAUAUACAUCCUACACUGAGCACGUAUAUCUACAAUGUAACUCAAAGUUGUGGUAGAUCAGUCCCCCACACCCAGCUGGAACUGGGUUUCUUCCAGAGGGUCUUUCAGGUUCUGGGCCCGAGUGCCUGUUUCAUAUUGGCCCACAGCAAACUUUAAGUUGGAUCUAGGAAACAUAGAAAGUAAUGCAGAAAAGUGUCCUUUAUUGUGGUGCUUUGUUUUACUUUCUGUUUUCCUUCUGCCUUGGUCCUCUUCAAAUUUUUGUCAGUUGCUUUUUAAACUCUAAAAUAAAAGGAAAAGGGGGUGAAAUAUCCAGACGAAGAAAUUGAUUGUGGCCUCUGAAACAUAGUACAUAAUGUUACAACACAAGAGCAAUAGGUGAUAUUGCUUUGAGCUAUGUCGAGGGCAUGACAUCCUUUUAAAAUAAAUAUUGUAUUCAGAUUGGAGCUGCUCUUUCUGCUGAUUGAUUAUGUGAAAUUCAGCCAGCAAUUGCCUGCCCUGUUUGGCACACAAAUGCCAAUUUAGGCAUAUAUCUCAGGCAGUUCUCUUUGAAAAUGUAGCCCUAACUCGGUCCUUCAUUAACAUAUCUGAAAAAGGAGAAGAAAAGGUUGAGGUUGUAUGGCACUUUUUCCACGGACCUGGAGGAAGAGUACAUUGCAGUGUGCUAUACGCAAAACAGCCUUAGCUGUGCAUAGAGCGCAUUAUUUUUAUUUGCAACAUGCAAAUCAUAAUUUUAUUUUCUGUGAUCACUAAAAUCAGAAAGACUGAAACUGCUCUCUGCCCUGUCAUCACCCUGAAUUUCACAAUGAGGAAGAAGUGGAGAGCUGCAUAGAACUAUAUGUUUGUAACUCCGCGGACAUAGUCCUCUCCCAUACCACCUCUUCCCCCUCUGGCAGCACAGUCAGAAGACAUUAUUUUAAGGAGGGAAAUCUCACCUGCUAUAGUAACUCAUUAUGACUCUUCAUUAAAGUUCUAGCUGUGAAAUAUACGAGAAAAAAAAUUUGAAAAGUCUUCAUUUAUUUAACUUGCAAUUUAUUCCAGCCAAACUAUUAUAAUAUGCAUGCAUCUACAGCUGUGCCCCACAUAAUCUGUUUAUGUUGGUUUAUUUUUGUCUGUGUGUAAUUCAUGAGUGAAUUUCCCUUCCUGUUUUGGGUCCUGAUCCAGCCAACACAUAAUCUCAUGUGUAACUUAAAUCAAUUUGACUAUACACUUUAGUAAAAUGCUUGCAGGAUUGGGGGCUUGUUUUGUAACUAGAGCAUGUUUUGCUAGUGAAAUGAAAGACUUACAGGCAAAUACUGCAUGCCUUAUGCACAGUAGUCCCAUUGAAUUCACAUGUGUGAGUGAGGCAAGCAGCAUGUGGCCCUGAGUUACAUAUCCAUAGUCAUUUGAGUUUGCCAAACAAUAGUUGCACUGUAAUACUCAGGGUAAGUAGUAGUUUAGAAUACUGAAAUCAAUAGCUGGGAUUUGUAAGGGCUCAUUUAAUUUAUGGAGCCAUUUUAAGUGAUCGCCCUUGAGGAAAUUUUAUGUUUUCCUCGCAAUAAUUGAUUUUUUUAAAGAUAGCAGCUUCAUAAUUCAUUUCUUGUGUUUUAUCUCUACCAACUUAGUGUGGUUCUUACAGAGGCAUAUCUGAUACAGUUAGCUGAGAAAUUAAUGGCUAUAUUGACUGGCAGCAGUAUUAACUCCUACCCAAUGCAAUUAGUAAGCUCAGCAGUGAACAGUAUCAAGAAAGCUUUGAGUUUCCUUCAGACCAUCUAACCUGUGUUGGUACAUGGUAUUAUGGAGGCGAAUCAACAAAAAUAUAAAGUAAAUUCAAAAUAAAGGUGCGUGCACUGGCUAUUACUGCUAAGCCUGUACUUUUUCUAUGUACAUCAGUGUAUGUUCCAAAAGCAACGUCAUGCGCCCCUGUGAAUUCUGUGGCUUUUGUUGCCUUGUCAUAAUCUUUACAAUAUAUAAUAUGUAUUGUACUUUUGCAUAUAUAGUUAAUUUAGCAGAUGCAAAAUUAACAUAAGAGAAGAUUUGUUUGCACAAGAAGUUUGGAGUAAUAAAACAUACAUCCAUCCACAAUGUGUUUGUACAUGUCCUUAGAUAACAAUGUGAUACCAUAGGUGUCUUAGAUAUACUAUGGUAUUUAAUCACUAAACAUUUGUUACAUAUUAAAAUGUAUCUUUCCUGAAAGGAAAAACAAUUCUCCAUCUGCUCUUUAAUGUAUUUGAUGUCUUCUAAUAUGGAGGACAAUUACAAUUUGUCCUGCUUGAUUGAAUAAGUGAAUUUUGCAGCUGGCUCUGAAGAUGGUAAGGAUAGAUCUCUUGACCACUUCUCAGAGGAAGUUUCAGAACCUGGGAUCUGCCCUUCCUCGGUGAACUCCUGGAGGAAAUCAAUCACUGACUGCAAUGCAUCAGGAUUUCACUAUGGGAUUCUGUUCACCAGCUAUGUCACUUGAACAGAGCAGCUGAAGAGGAGCACAGAUAGAAGGAUGGACCUUAAAGUAGCCCGUGCCUGUCCUGCUAAAGAUUUUGUAGAUCAGGUCCAGAUCAUCUAAAUGGAAUUAGCAGUGAACAAGGAACCAGUGUAGGUUUCAGAUCACCCAAGUACAUUUUAAAGGCAAAACAAAGAGUUUUAUCCAUGUUUCUCAGUACAGUGGUUGCCAUUAAAAAAGUCAAUCAUCA